rnacentral:rRNA from 1 species
GACGAACGCUGGCGGCGUGCUUAACACAUGCGAGUCGAACGGAAAGGCCCUGCUUUUGUGGGGUGCUCGAGUGGCGAACGGGUGAGUAACACGUGAGUAACCUGCCCUUGACUUUGGGAUAACUUCAGGAAACUGGGGCUAAUACCGGAUAGGAGCUCCUGCUGCAUGGUGGGGGUUGGAAAGUUUCGGCGGUUGGGGAUGGACUCGCGGCUUAUCAGCUUGUUGGUGGGGUAGUGGCUUACCAAGGCUUUGACGGGUAGCCGGCCUGAGAGGGUGACCGGCAAAAGUGGGACGGAGAUAGGCCCGAGACCCCGAGGGGGGGGAGAGGGGGGAAAUUUGGCCAAAGGGGCGAAGGCGUGAGCCAGACCCCCCGGGUGGGGGAUGACGGCCUUGGGUUUGAAAACCGUUUUCGCCUGGAAGGAGGGGUGAGUGAGGUAAGUGGAUAAAAAAGCACCGGCUAACUAGGUC